rnacentral:rRNA from 1 species
GACGAACGCUGGCGGCGUGCCUAAUACACGCAAGUCGAGCGCAGGAAGUCAUCCUAACCCUUCGGGGGGACGUUGACGGAUUGAUCGGCGGUCGGGUGAGUAACACGUAAAUAACCUUCCCUCAGGUCUGGUAUAACCACUAGAAAUCGGGGCUCAUACCGGAUGGGUCGUCGGACCGCAUGUUCCGAUGUUGAAAGGCGCUCCGGCCUCUCCUGGUGUUGGCUUUGCGGUGCAUUAGCUAGUUGGUGGGGUAAUGGCCCACCAAGGCGACGAUGCAUAGCCGACGUGGGAGGGUGAUCGGCCACACUGGGACUGAGACACGGCCCAGACUCCUACGGGAGGCAGCAGUAGGGAAUCUUCCACAAUGGACGAAAGUCUGAUGGAGCAACGCCGCGUGAACGAUGAAGGCCCUCGGGUCGUAAAGUUCUGUUGUAAGGGAAGAACAAGUGCCGCAGGCAAUGGCGGCACCUUGACGGUACCUGGCGAGAAAGCCACGGCUAACUACGUG